GCGAGCGAAAGCGGAUCAGCCCAAACCAGAGUGAUUUAUCACGCUGGGGUUGUAGGACUAUAAUGUGAGAAGCAACGGAUAGACGAAUACCUUGGAAAGGGUAACCAUAGAGGGUGACAGUCCCGUAGUUGAAAUCCCGCGCCGAUCUAAUAGUAUCCUGAGUAGCACCGGACACGUGAAACCCGGUGUGAAUCUGCGCCGACCACGGCGUAAGGCUAAAUACAAGAUGACGACCGACAGUGAACUAGUACCGCGAGGGAAAGGUGAAAAGCACCCCUGUUAGGGGAGUGAAAUAGUAACUGAAACCGAUGGCUAACAAAUCAGUAGGAGCCGCCUUGUGCGGUGACUGCCUGCCUUUUGUAUAAUGAGUCUGCGAGUUUAUGUCCGUAGCAAGCCUAAGCUGCUAAGCAGUGGAGGCGUAGCGAAAGCGAGUCUGAAUAGGGCGAUUGAGUUGCUGGCAUAAGACCCGAAGGGGAGGUGAUCUUACCAUGACCAGGUUGAAGCGUUAGUAAAAUAACGUGGAGGACCGAACCGGUGUAGCUUGAGAACUGCUCGGAUGAGUUGUGGUAAGGAGUGAAAGGCUAAUCAAACCCCCUGAUAGCUGGUUCUUUCCGAAAUAUAUUGAGGUAUAGCGUCGAGCGCUGACCUGUGGAGGUAGAGCACUGAAUAAGCUAGGGCCCCUACCGGGGUACUGAACUUUAUCAAACUCCGAAUGCCACAGGGUGAAGCUCGGCAGUCAGACUUAGGGUGCUAACGUCCUAAGUCGAGAGGGCAACAACCCAGACCAUCAGUUAAGGUCCCUAAAUGUGGCUCAGUGGUAAAGGAUGUGAUUUUACUUAGACAAUGGGGAUGUUGGCUUAGAGGCAGCCAUCAUUUAAACAGUGCGUAACAGCUGACCCAUCGAGUGAAAUUGCGCCGAAAAUGAUCGGGACUUAAGCCACAUACCGAAGCUAUGGAUUUCAGUUCCUCGGAACUGGAGUAGUAGGAAAGCGUUCCAAGUGCAGUGAAGGAGAAGGGGCAACCGACUCUGGAGCGCUUGGAAGUGAGAAUGCAGACAUGAGUAACGAUAAAGAUGGUUAAAGUCCAUCUCGCCGUAAGGAUAAGGUUUCCUGGGGAAGGCUCGUCCUCCCAGGGUUAGUCGGGAGCUAAGAUGAGGCCGUAAGGAGUAAUCGAUGCACAGAAGGUUAAUAUUCCUUCACCGGCUUGCAACUAUUCCCAGAGUGCGGAUCGACGGACCCUACAGACCUGUUUUGACAAGGCACUGCAAAGCUACGGCUGCGUGGGUGUAGGGAAAGAAGGUUCCAAGAAAAGCUCUGGAAUUACUAUGCAGGUCGCUCGUACCGCAAACCGACACAGGUAUCCGGGAUGAGUAUUCUAAGGCGCGCGAGUUAAAUCUCUCUAAGGAACUCGGCAAAUUGGCCCCGUAUCUUCGGUAUAAGGGGUGCCCCUCUAGGGGGGUCGCAGUUAAUAGCGUCAACCGACUGUUUAGCAAAAACACAGCUCUCUGCAAAGUCGCAAGACGACGUAUAGGGAGUGACACGUGACCAAUGCGAAAAGGUGAACGCCUGGGGUGCAAGCUCCGGGUCUAAGCCCUCGUGAAUGUCGGCCGUAACUAUAACGGUCCUAAGGUAGCGAAAUUCCUUGUCGGGUAAGUUCCGACCCGCACGAAUCGUGUAACGAGUUGACGACUGUCUCGGAGAGACGCUCGGUGAAAUUGUAGUAGCGGUUAAGAUGCCGCUUACCCGCAGCAGGACGGAAAGACCCUAUGCACCUUUACUGUAAGCUGUUAUUGUCGCUUGAUCUUCAUUGCGUAGAAUAGGUGGGAGACGUUGAUCCUUCGUUCCAGGACGAAGGCUAGUCGUAAUGUGAAAUACCACUCUUUGUUGGUUAGGCGUCUAACCUCUUUCCAUUAUCUGGAGGAGGGACAGUGAUAGCAGGUCAGUUUUACUGGGGCGGUAUCCUCCUAAAAAGUAACGGAGGAUUUCGAAGGUUCCCUCAGCCCGGUCGGUAAUCGGGCUAUAGAGCGCAAGAGUAUAAGGGAGCUUUACUGUGAGACCUACAAGUCGAGCAGUUGCGAAAGCAGGAUCUAGUGAUCCGGUGGUUGAAAGUGGAAUCGCCAUCGCUCAUAGGACAAAAGGUACGCUAGGGAUAACAGGCUGAUCGCGCCCAAGCGUUCACAGCGACGGCGCGGUUUGGCACCUCGAUGUCGCCCUAUAGUGAGUCGUAUUACAAUU
rnacentral:rRNA from 1 species